CUGAAUUAAACUAUAAUAUAAAUGCAACGAAUUCCAUGUCAAUUACAAUACAAAAGUUUUCAUGAGUUGUAUGCAUUUGAUCUAUUUGCCAUCUUGAAUGGUCAAGAUGAUUCUGCGUCUCUCGCACUUUGCAACAGUCCAAGAAUCAUUAUUCGUAUAAGUGUAUUAAUCGCAUAUCAGUGACAAAAGUCACAUAUACACUUACAACUUAAACAGUCAUGCCUGUCACCCAUCAAAGUUCGUACAAAGAGUUAUCGUCAACAACAGAAAGAAUGAAACCAAACAAAUUAAACGAAUGUUUGUCUCAACGAAUCGUCUCUUGAACAAAGGGCAUAGUUUAAUAAUCAUCAGCAAUAUUAGACACCGGUAAAAUUCAUUGAUACUGAUGAUCCUUUCAUAUAAACAUAGAAAUAGUUGACGUAGAAUCUGAUGUUCUAUAAUUUUGAGGCGCCAAUGAACUAUAAGCAGCAGGAAAUAAAUCGAAUAAAAAAUUUUUUAUCUGAAGUAUAAAUUAUGAGUACAAAGUCCAACAGACUUGUUAAUGCAUUUUCAUCUGGCUAAAACGAUAAAUGUUUGUGACCGCUGAUUAUCCAAUAGGAAAAGGAGAAUUUAAUCAAAUGUUGAAUGAGAUGGUGUAGAAAAUGAACACUAUGAUCACGUUGCUUUGACGCUUGCGCAGAUAUGAGGCAUGCGUUUUUUUUAUGAAUGCCAAAUUUUGCGUCUG